UUUUAAAUGGAGUCGGGAAUGAAUGGAUUUAUGGGGUGAAACUGUCUCCUUUAUAUUAUAUUGAACUUACUCAAUAGGUGAAAAUGCCUAUAAAUAGAAAAAAGACGAGAAGACCCUAGGAGUUUUUACUAAAUGUUAAAUUUCAUAUUAACUGUUGUUUUUGUUGGGGCGACAAGGGAGCAUUAAGAAUAAACCUCCUCUUUUAAUUUGCCGACAUAGUAUGAGAAAAUAAACUACCCUAGGGAUAACAGCGUAAUUCUUAAGAGCUUGCGACCUCGAUGUUGGACUAGGAAUUUGGUAGGCUAGCCGCCUAUUUAUAUUGUUCUGUUCGAACUGUUUUUCCUACGUGAUCU
rnacentral:rRNA from 1 species